CAGUCGCCGCGGUAAUACGUAGGUGGCAAGCGUUGUCCGGAAUUAUUGGGCGUAAAGGGCUCGCAGGCGGUUUCUUAAGUCUGAUGUGAAAGCCCCCGGCUCAACCGGGGAGGGUCAUUGGAAACUGGAAACUUGAGUGCAGAAGAGGAGAGUGGAAUUCCACGUGUAGCGAUGAAAUGCGUAGAGAUGUGGAGGAACACCAGUGGCGAAGGCGACUCUCUGGUCUGUAACUGACGCUGAGGAGCGAAAGCGUGGGGAGCGAACAGGAUUAGAUACCCGAGUAGUCCCUGUCUCUUAUACA
rnacentral:rRNA from 1 species